CCCCUAGAUGUUCUGGGCCGCACGCGCGCUACACUGAACAGUUCAACAAGUCUUAACCUUGGCCGAUAGGUCUGGGUAAUCUUUGAACGCUGUUCGUGAUUGGGAUAGACCUUUGCAAUUAUGGGUCUUCAGCGAGGAAUUCCUAGUAAACGCAAGUCAUCAGCUUGCAUUGAUUACGUCCCUGCCCUUUGUACACACCGCCCGUCGCACCUACCGAUUGAAUGGUCCGGUGAAAUCUCGGGACGGCGGCUUGGUCGCUUGCGUCCGACUGCUGAAACUUGAUUAAACCAUAUCAUUUAGAGGAAGGUGAANUCGUANCA
rnacentral:rRNA from 1 species